rnacentral:rRNA from 1 species
UACGUAGGGCGCAAGCGUUGUCCGGAAUUAUUGGGCGUAAAGCGCGCGCAGGCGGUCCUUUAAGUCUGAUGUGAAAUCCCGUGGCUUAACCACGGGCGGUCAUUGGAAACUGGGGGACUUGAGUGCAGAAGAGAAGAGCGGAAUUCCACGUGUAGCGGUGAAAUGCGUAGAGAUGUGGAGGAACACCAGUGGCGAAGGCGGCUCUUUGGUCUGUAACUGACGCUGAGGCGCGAAAGCGUGGGGAGCGAACAGG